rnacentral:piRNA from 1 species
UGCAUUUCUCUUUCUUUUUUUAAACUUGUG